AGCGUAGGCCGGAGAUUAAGCGUGUUGUGAAAUGUAGAUGCUCAACAUCUGCACUGCAGCGCGAACUGGUUUCCUUGAGUACGCACAAAGUGGGCGGAAUUCGUGGUGUAGCGGUGAAAUGCUUAGAUAUCACGAAGAACUCCGAUUGCGAAGGCAGCUCACUGGAGCGCAACUGACGCUGAAGCUCGAAAGUGCGGGUAUCGAACA
rnacentral:rRNA from 1 species